AGUUUACUUUCCAAAAUGGUAUCUGAAGGGCUUAAGAAGCAGCCCCUCGCGCUCUGGGGCAUUUGUUCGUAGGGUGGUGAAUUUAGACUUUAGGUCAUAUAUCCGGUUUUUAAAUUGGAUGCCGGAAGCGCUUAAAAUGCCGGAGCCUGAGCUUAUUGAUCAUGCAGGGUUGGAUUCUGCUGUUUACUUGCGCAUUUACUUGAUGGGGUAAUCCCUUUUCCGUUCGUUUAUCUUUCUUUUUCUAUGCUUAUUUCUUGAUGAAAGAGUAUGUGCUGUACUUGUGGGGACUACAUGUUUCUGAAAAUGUUUAUGUCAUUUGUUAUUAUGUGCUGAGCUCGAUUUUUUUACCUACGCAGACUUAAAAUUUUUGUGCCUAUAACAUUCCUUGCUUGGGCUAUCCUGGUGCCAGUCAAUUACACUAAUGAUGCUCUAGAGGCAGCCAAGAUGGUGGCCAAUGUGACUGCUAGUGACAUUGACAAGCUUUCAAUUUCGAAUAUACCACUUAAAUCACAAAGGUAGGAAUCCAUCCUCCUUUGCUAACUUCUGCUUCCUUGUCAUCUCCGAGUUUUGAUGAAUCUUGAUAUAUUCAGAUAUAUUGAUCACAAUUCUUUUACCAUGUUAUAUAGCGUAAUGACCCUUUAUGGAUAACUAGACGCAUAGAUUAUUCUGUAUCUGUAGAAUACAUGUAAAUUAUUAUGUAUCUGUAGAAUACUUAUUAAUUGCUAAUUUAUCAAAAACCAAGAGUAAUUGUUUUCCUCAAGACAAUCACAUGUUGUCUUGUAUUUCUUUGUUCGCAUAUCCUACCAUCUUCUACGUCCAGGAAUAUCUUCUCCUUUUCUUUUUCAGUGUGCCCCUAUAUUUAUAUUUAUUGCAUUGCAGAUUUUGGACGCAUAUAGUGAUGGCUUAUGCCUUUACUUUCUGGACGUGCUACGUGUUGCUAAGGGAGUAUGAGAAAGUUGCUGCGAUGAGGUUGCAAUUUCUUUCCUCAGAAAGACGUCGUCCAGAUCAAUUCACAGUAAGAUGAACUAUUUUCCUUAUUGAUUUAUUUCUUUUUAGAGUUUUUUUCCCUCAACCCUGAGCUUGUUCCUCAAUUUCCAUUUUAAGAAAUGAGUUCCAUUUGUGAAUAUUUUCAAAAUUGGCAGUGGUAGUUUGCUUACCCUUUUUUCUCUGUCCUUCUCCUAUUCAAGAAACUUGCAUCAUUGAGUUUACUCUUCCCAGGUCCUUGUUAGGAAUGUACCUCCAGAUCCAGAUGAAACUGUCAGUGAGCUUGUGGAGCACUUUUUUCUAGUGAAUCAUCCAGAUCAUUACCUCACUCAUCGGGUAUGUUCCUACCCAAACAAAAUUUAUAUUGUAAAUAAUCUUUGGUAGAAAGCUAUGAAUUUAUUUGAUGACAUGGAAUAGUCCGCACCAAUUUUGUUUUGCAAAAUAUGGGAAACCAUUUGUUCAAAUGUGUGUGUGGGCAUUAUGUGGAUCAAUGUGUGCUACUGGUACUUGAUAAAUUAUAUAUCUUCAAUGAUUUUAGGUAACAUUAUGAGGCAUGCACUUGAAUGCAUUUGAUCAUAGCUUUUCCAUAUGUGCAAAUGCUUGCCAUCUUCCAUAAGUAAACUGUUUCCCUCAGCUAUUGUUCUUUCUUUUCUGUUCUUGUCCCAAUUUUAUCUCUGGUGGUUUUGAUGAUUUAUUGCAAACCUUAAAGUUUGAUUGCUUCAAGUGCCAAUUUUUAUUCCAGAACUGACGUGGAAUUGACAAAGUGUUAGUACAGGAGUUGUGUCUGAUUUGGAAUGUUGUAAACCUCAAAGUUAAUUGUUUUAAGUGCCACCGUUUCCUUGUUUCUAUUUGUGGCUGUGUAACAGUGUCACAUUCCCUGCUGGACAUAGAGACUUCAUUCUUUCUAAAUAGCAAUUUAAUAGAGAAUUGCACCAAUUAACUACUCUGCAUUUAUUGUCUUUGGACUCUGAAAAAUGAUAAAAAAGAAGUGCUAGGAUGUUUUAUUUGUUGAACUAAGAAUGUGCACCUCCGCUUGUUUUUUAUGAGCAUGUUGUAUUGCUGAGGUGAUUUGUGGAAAAUGUUGUUGCUCAUAAAAAACGCUUCCAAUUUUCUUGACUCGGUGAGUGUUGCAGCUCUUCCUAGCCUUUCUUUAUUUGAAUUAAAUAGCAAGGGAUAGGGAAAAGGUUUGGUGGGUUGAGGAGGCAACAUGUGUACCACACAUGAUCUAUUGAGUGGCUUUAAAUGGACCCUUUACUUGCUGGAGUAUUCAUAUAAACCCUCGCACUUUCUUAUGCACCUGAAAUUCUAGGAUAGUUUGUACUUCAAUUUGUAAAUUUGUCUUAAUAAAUUUUUUAAUGCAGGUGGUGUGCAAUGCCAACAAACUAGCCAGCUUGGUGAAGAAGAAGAAAAAAAAGCAGAACUGGCUUGACUACUACCAACUCAAGUACUCCAGGGAUCAAUCGCAGAGGCCUCAGAUGAAGGUAAUUCUCAAAAUUCAAUCUGAUAGCCUCUUACUUUUUCCUAAACCUAAUUUCGGUUUUGACCUCAACUCUUACGGUUCUUGGAUGUUUCAGACUGGUUUCCUUGGGCUUUGGGGGGGAAAAGUGGAUGCAAUCGAUUAUCACAUAUCAGAGAUUGAGAAACUGUCAGAAGAAGUAAGCAGCUUCAAUUUCUUAUCUAAAUUCCCUGAUCUCUCAAAAAUUUUGAACCUUUUGUUUUUUUUUUUUUAAGCAUAUAAUCUGGCAACCUCUUGUUCAAAAGUCCAUGAAGUUUAUUAGUUGGUUUUAGGCUCACUCAAAUGAGUUAAGAGAUGCUGCAUAUUCUCACCAGUUACUAUUUGCAUCAUCAUACUAAUUUGAGUCACGGAUCAUUUUGGUAUUAUUCAGAUAGAAGAAGAGACGAAAAGGGUUUUAAAGGAUCCAAAGUCUAUAAUGCCAGCAGCAUUUGUUUCAUUCAAGACUCGAUGGGGUGCAGCUGUGUGUGCACAAACUCAACAAUCAAGAAAUCCAACUUUGUGGUUAACAGAGUGGGCUCCGGAGCCUCGCGAUGUAUAUUGGCAAAACUUAGCCAUUCCAUACAUGUCACUCAAAGUUAAGAGGCUGAUAAUUGGAGUUGCUUUCUUUUUCCUUACCUUCUUUUUCAUGAUACCUAUUGCAUCUGUACAAGCGCUAGCAAGUAUUGAGGGAAUAGAGAAAAGAGCCCCUUUUCUGAAGUCUGUUAUUGAAAUGUACGUUUCUUCCAUCACGGUGCCUUCUAACUUAGUUGCAAGUUUUCUUUGUUAGAAAUUACUUAUUGUUUCAUUAUUUAAUAUGCAGAAAAUUUAUCAAAUCUGUCAUCCAAGGUUUUCUUCCUGGCAUUGCAUUGAAGCUCUUCCUUAUCUUCCUGCCAACAAUAUUGAUGAUCAUGUCUAAGUUUGAAGGCUUCGUAUCUCUAUCUUCUUUGGAAAGGAGAUCAGCAACGAGAUACUAUAUUUUCCUCAUUAUCAACGUAUUCCUAGGGAGCAUACUCACUGGAGCCGCAUUUGAUCAGCUAAAUGCUUUUAUUAAUCAGUCUGCUAACGAGUAUGUUACUCUCACUUUUUUGUCAAAUAUUGUGUCUUCAGUAUUUAAUUACUCUACUAGGGUGUAUGCAUAUUUAAGGGAACUUGAUUGCAUUAGGGUGAGCGGUAAUGUAUGCUGUAAGAGCCAAAAAUUGUCGGUAGUGUUAAUGGGCAAGGAAUGUUAUUUUCUCUGUUUGAAGGUUUGUUCAUGGCAUGUGCCUUCAAAGGUUUUCCAAUAACAUAUAUUUUAUUGACUGUAAAUUUUUUUAUCCUCCAAUCAGUAAUUUAUUUUAUUCUCACUUUUCAUCAAUCUAGAAUCCCUUUAUACUUGACUGAUUUGAUAGACUGUUUAUUCAUGAUUUCUUCCCUUUUCCUGGUAUGAACCCAUAUGGUCUCCGUGAAUAUGUUUUUCAUUUUAUCAUCUGCAACUUCCCUUAAGUUUUUAUUAUAUUUUUCUUCUUUUCUCAUUUCUUCAUUUAUUUAUGUGGCAGAAUUCCUAAAACAAUUGGUGUAGCUGUUCCAAUGAAAGCAACUUUCUUCAUAACCUAUAUAAUGGUUGACGGAUGGGCUGGCAUAGCCGGAGAAGUUUUAAUGUUGAAACCACUGGUACUCUACCACUUGAAAAAUUUCUUUUUGGUGAAGACUGAAAAGGACAGGGAAGAGGCAAUGGAUCCUGGAAGUCUUGGUUUUCACACUGGCGAACCCCGUAUACAAUUAUAUUUUCUGCUAGGGCUUGUAUAUGCUACAGUGACACCAGUUCUCCUUCCAUUCAUAGUUAUUUUCUUUGCCUUCGCCUUUGCAGUGUUCCGUCAUCAGGUAACAAGUUGAUACUAUUGGUUAUAUGAUGUUCAAUCCAAGAACAAUUCAAUUGCAUAUGGUUAAUGCCUUGUGCCAACUAAAUGUUCAAAACCAUACAACUUAAUCCAACUUGGAAGAUUUACUGGACCAAGGUUCAGUGCAAUUGGAUACAAUAUAUUCAUCUUUUCCCUAAAAUUUAUGCAGAUCAUAAAUGUUUACAACCAAGAGUAUGAAAGUGGUGCAGCAUUCUGGCCUGAUGUCCAUGGGCGUGUUAUUACUGCACUAGUAAUCUCGCAGCUGGCUCUGAUGGGACUGAUGAGUACAAAAGAAGCUGCACAGUCAACACCAUUUCUCAUUGCUCUCCCUGUCCUCACUAUAUGGUUUCAUAGGUUCUGCAAUGGACGCCACAAAUCUGCAUUUGUCAAAUAUCCAUUACAGGUGUGUUGGUGUCAUAUUGCAGAGUUGAUGCUUUUUGUUUGUGUUGAUUUUUCUGUACUUCCUUGUUUGCUCUCGAUUGAUUUGCCUGCAUAAUACUGAUAAUUUCUUAUAUGAAAUUAUGAAUUUAUUUUAGCAUAUCAUCUGCAUAUAUGUCAAUAUAGAGUUGCUGAAAAUGUUCGUUACAAACUCAGGUUAUGUUCUAUGUAUGACCAAUUCUGGCAUUUGAUACUAUCAAUAAGUUUUGUUUCAUUAACACGAGACCUUUCAAGUGAAUUCAAGUUAUUUAGAUUGUAGCAAAAUGACUCAAAAGCUGCACCUGCAAACUACUAAUCUUGUCUUGAACCAUGGUUUUCAGGAAGCAAUGAUGAAAGAUACCCUGGAACGAGCAAGGGAUCCAAACUUUAAUCUGAAAGCCUACCUUCAGAGUGCUUAUGUUCAUCCAGUUUUCAAAGGUGGUGAUGAUGAUAUUGAUGAAGACGACCUUCUGAGCGGAAAGAUGGAAACCGAGAGUGUCUUAGUGCCUACAAAGCGCCAAUCACGAAGAAAUACACCAGCACCAAGCAAAAUCAGCGGGGGAUCCUCACCAUCUUUGCCCGAGACAGUUAAAAAUGGAGAGCCUUGAAACAGAGAUCGUUACACGUGCAUGACUACACCUCGCAGUACAUUAGACACAAUCCAUUGCCAGGAGACAGUGAUCCGUUGUAAACUUAACGAGUCCAGAUAGCAAAGUUUGUUCUAUAGAGAGACAAGGACUAGGGUGCCUGUAUGCUUAUGAACGAUUGCCUUGUUGCAGGGCAAUGCAGCAAAGUAUAGAAGAGCCCAAGCUAUGAGGAGAAGAUCUUUUCAUUGAAUACGGCGACUAACAUGUAUAGUUGUGUAAACCAACAUUUAGAAAUCCACACAAUAUCUACUCUACUUUCUACCAUGCUAUCAAUUCAUCUACAUCUGUCUUUGAAGUUUGAAGGUAAGGGCAAUCUAGUCCCCACACUCUUCAAACAUAUUGGGACCAAGUCCCUCACCCACCUAAGACGUGUCCAAAUUCCCAAAUAUAAAAUAUUUAUACGACCCUUGAAAAAUUUAAUUUUUUUUCCUGUGUUUUCCCUUGAACGAACACAUAAAAAACAUCUAGUAAACCAAAAGAAAAGUAAUAAAGAAGGAAAAAUAAUAUGAGAAUAAAUUCAUUUAAAAACGAAAUUAACACUGACACAACAUGAUAUCAUAGCAUUGUUUGAAUAAUAAUAUUCUCUAUUAAUAUGAAACUCUUUUAAUAAUAUUUUCACUAGAUUGAUAAAUAGAAUGAAUAUAGAAGUUGAGGGAUUGAAUUGAAACAAAAGAUAGUAAAAAGAUUAAAAUGAAACAAGAAUGAAAGUAGGGUGACCAGAAAACACAAUCUCACCUCCAUUAUUCACAAAUCCCACCAAUCAUCAUUUUAAUUGGAUCGUGAAGCACAGCCCCUCGAACAGCGCGUGAAAGAAUACCAUUUUUUUCGUUCAAAAUCGACAAUAAGUAGCUGUUAGAAAUAGCACUUGGCAACUUGCGGACAAUGGACGUGGUGUUGCUUUCUUACGAAUGCUCUUCCAUGUCUUACUUGAGUUGUUCUGUUUUUCUCCUAAGCACAAAAGAGUCUUCACUUAUAAUAGUUUGUUUCAAUUAAGUCCCUUAAUUUUAACUUCGUGCAAUUUAAGUAUACAAUUAUUAUUGAACUAACAAUCAAGUUCCUCAAUCACAUUUGUUGAGGAACUUGAUUAGGAUUUGAAUUUGAGAUAAUUUUCAUAAGCUGGUGUUUAUAGUUAUAUUUUCUUUUCACUCGGAAAAACAUUAAAAUAAUAUAUCUUUUUAUUUUUAAAAAAUUAUUUUCAAUAUUAGUACAUAAAAAAUAAUAUGAAAAUACUAAAAAAAAAUAAUUUUAAAUAAAAAAUAAAAAAAUUAAAUUUUGAUGAAAAACAAGUUGAACCUCCCAGUUAAACACACCCAUAACAACAAACAAAUAUAUAAAAAAAUACAGAUUUUAAUCCUGUAUUGGAACAAAUAUAAUACAUUUUCCUCCAUGAUUACUGCUUUCUCUCUUACCAGUCACAUUAUUAGAGAAUAAGAAAUUCAUACAUGUUUUUUUCUUAGUCCCAAUCAGUAAAUAAAAUAAAAUAGUCACAUGAUCCUAUGUUGAAAUGUAGCCAUGGGAUCCUUUUUGUUUAGAAAUGAAAAUGCAUCUUUUUGGGCCCACUACCUUAUAUUUGUACUGUUGUAAUUUUAAAAAAUAGAUUUUAAAAAAUUAUUUUUAGUUGUUGUUUUAAAAGAUAUGUUAAAAAAUAUAUAUAUUUGAUUAAAAUUCCUAUAAGAUGAAUUUUUGCAUAUAAAAUAAAUAAAAAAUAAAAUUUUAAUUUUUUUUAAAAUAUAUAUUUUUAAAAUAUUUUAAAUUAAAAAUACUUUAAAAUACAAACUUUACUAUGGCUUACUAAACUGUUUGUUCCAGGUUGUUGAGGGAAAAAAAAAAAAACCCUGCAAGCUACCAUGGUACCAAACGGUAUUUUAGUACUUUUUAAGGACUAAGAUGAAAUAACCGUGACAAUCUCAGUACUGGAUUGUAGCUCUUCAUUUGUCGAGUCGAGCUGAGAAAAAGAGCAGCCUUUUUUAACACUACAAAGAAAGAUAGCCCGAAAUCGAAAACGUUAUUCGAAACAAUGUGAAAGUGAAAUCUCCAGAUUUCACUUUCCAUUUUUCUUUAUUGUCUUCAUCUUCAUCUUCUUCUUGUGCUAUAUAUUCCCAUUUUUGGACCAGACCUUUUGAUGUGUAUUUAUUAUUACAAUAAUUACUUCUUGAAGGCGGGGGUGGUAGCGUGCUAGCUACUUGUUCCUCAAAAGGAGAGGAAUCAUACUGUUCACUUUGUUAAGCGGAAAAGUUUUCCAAACAUUUGUUAAUUCAAUUGCUCAGCAUUUUUUUUGAAGAUUGAGAGGUCAAUAUAGCAUUGGAGAUAAGGAAAGAAGCUGGUUAAUAGUAAGCAACUUAGUUGUUUUUGGGAUCCUUUUCUUUACCUUUUGUGUUGAUUUUUUUUUCUGUUUUUUGAUAUGUUUUCUGGGUUCUGGUGUGUGCAAUAGUUGUUGAAUUGUGACCCAGAUGGAAAAAGUUAUUGAAUUUGGAGAUUAAUUUGAUGUUUAAUGAGGACUGGUUUAAUUUUGAUUGAUUUGCUUUGUAAGUAUAAAAAGAUGAUCUUUUUGAGAUUUUACUCGAUAAGUUGUUAUCUUUUGACGUUUAGGUGUGUUUUUCAUUGAAAGGAGCCAUUGGAUGUUAAAUAUAGUGGUUGAAUUUUUUAUAUGUUUUUUAAAUUUGCUUGAGAAGUUGUUUAUUUUUAAUGUUUUAUGUAAGGGUUUUGUUUUUUUGUUUUUUUUUGUUGAAGGUAGGUAUAAAUGGAAAUGUACUGAGUGCAUUCAUUUUCUUAUUGGCGUUUGCAAUUUUGAGGCUACAACCUCUCAAUGAUAGAGUUUACUUUCCACAACCUCUCAAUGAUAGAGUUUACUUUCCAAAAUGGUAUCUGAAGGGCGUAAGAGGCAGCCCCUCGCGCUCUGGGGCGCUUGUUCGGUUUUUAAAUUGGAUGCCGGAAGCGCUUAAAAUGCCGGAGCCUGAGCUUAUUGAUCAUGCAGGAUUGGAUUAUGCUGUUUACUUGCGCAUUUACUUGAUGGGGUAAUCCGUUUUCCUUUUGUUUCUCGCUCUUUUUCUAUGCUCAUUUGUUGAUGAAAGAUUGUAUGCUGUACUUGUGCGGUCUAGAUGUUUCUGAAAAUGUCUGUCAUUUGUUAUUAUGUGCUGAGCUCGAUUUUGUUACCUACGCAG
rnacentral:lncRNA from 1 species